AGCACGAGUGCCGAUCGCUGUCGGGCGAGGGCGCUCAGGGGUGGGAGCCGAAGAGAGUAAUUUAGGGAUAGAGGUGAGAACGGAGUUAGAUACAGAAAUAAGAUCACAUGAACUCCGACUUCGGAUGGAACACGUCAUCCAUUUAAACCCUCGAGCCGAGCUCAACUGGAAACUCCACCUAAGCUGGAAGAGACUUGAGCUUGCAAGUGAAAUAAGCCAGAGGAUUUUGAAGAUAUAAAAAGGCGCAUCUCAAUUCCGUGUGGCGGGCAAAAAAUAAAGGAGCAGAUUGUGACAGACCAUUCCCAUCAGCCAUGCGGGUGAACCCAACAUCCUUUUACAUUGAAGAACCCAACGGGGCCUUUUACAUUGCGGAUGAUGGACUGGCUCGUGUCGUCCAUGAAUUUCACGCGCACCUGCGUGCACUGUCCCUGAGAGCCGGUCCUGCCCAGGACCUUGGUGACCCUGGCCAGCUUGAUAGGCUGCACACGGCUGGUGUUCAUGAUGGUGGCGCAGCGGCGGUGUGGCGGAGAGGUAAAUAUAUAUUAUAUAAAUUAACUUAAUAUAUAAAAAUACAUAAAUAUAUAAAAUGUGUAUAUAUAUAAACAAGCUGAAGAUGGGAGAAAUUAGCUAGUAGUAUCAAGAUUUAUUACAAAACUAUGCAAUUAAGAUUUUGUCAUAUUGGUUCAAGGAUGGACAACUUUAUCAAUGAAUUAAAAUAAUAAAACAGAUAUGUGAACCAUUAAUUAUGUCAAAGGUGACACUAUAGAGCACAGGUGAAAGGAAUGUCUUAUCAAUGAAUGUGUGGGGAUAUUUAGAUACCCAUUUGGAAAAAAAUAAAGCUUGGCUUUUGCUUCAAACA